rnacentral:rRNA from 1 species
CAAGUCGAGCGAACAGACGAGGAGCUUGCUCCUCUGACGUUAGCGGCAGACGGGUGAGUAACACGUGGAUAACCUACCUAUAAGACUGGGAUAACUUCGGGAAACCGGAGCUAAUACCGGAUAAUAUAUUGAACCGCAUGGUUCAAUAGUGAAAGACGGUUUUGCUGUCACUUAUAGAUGGAUCCGCGCCGCAUUAGCUAGUUGGUAAGGUAACGGCUUACCAAGGCAACGAUGCGUAGCCGACCUGAGAGGGUGAUCGGCCACACUGGAACUGAGACACGGUCCAGACUCCUACGGGAGGCAGCAGUAGGGAAUCUUCCGCAAUGGGCGAAAGCCUGACGGAGCAACGCCGCGUGAGUGAUGAAGGUCUUCGGAUCGUAAAACUCUGUUAUUAGGGAAGAACAAAUGUGUAAGUAACUAUGCACGUCUUGACGGUACCUAAUCAGAAAGCCACGGCUAACUACGUGCCAGCAGCCGCGGUAAUACGUAGGUGGCAAGCGUUAUCCGGAAUUAUUGGGCGUAAAGCGCGCGUAGGCGGUUUUUUAAGUCUGAUGUGAAAGCCCACGGCUCAACCGUGGAGGGUCAUUGGAAACUGGAAAACUUGAGUGCAGAAGAGGAAAGUGGAAUUCCAUGUGUAGCGGUGAAAUGCGCAGAGAUAUGGAGGAACACCAGUGGCGAAGGCGACUUUCUGGUCUGUAACUGACGCUGAUGUGCGAAAGCGUGGGGAUCAAACAGGAUUA